rnacentral:tRNA from 1 species
GUGGGUAUAACUCAGUGGUAGAGUGUAUGCUUAGUAUGCAUGGGGUCCUGGGUUCAAUCCCAAGUACUCCCA